rnacentral:rRNA from 1 species
GACGAACGCGGCGGCGUGCCUAAUACAUGCAAGUAGAACGCUGAAGGAGGAGCUUGCUUCUCCGGAUGAGUUGCGAACGGGUGAGUAACGCGUAGGUAACCUGCCUGGUAGUGGGGGAUAACUAUUGGAAACGAUAGCUAAUACCGCAUAACAGUAGAUGUUGCAUGACAUUUGCUUAAAAGGUGCAAUUGCACCACUACCAGAUGGACCUGCGUUGUAUUAGCUAGUUGGUGGGGUAACGGCUCACCAAGGCGACGAUACAUAGCCGACCUGAGAGGGUGAUCGGCCACACUGGGACUGAGACACGGCCCAGACUCCUACGGGAGGCAGCAGUAGGGAAUCUUCGGCAAUGGACGGAAGUCUGACCGAGCAACGCCGCGUGAGUGAAGAAGGUUUUCGGAUCGUAAAGCUCUGUUGUAAGAGAAGAACGAGUGUGAGAAGUGGAAA